AUAAUUAGUCAUUGCUUAUAUAUCGUUGUAAUUUGGUCGACGGUUUCUACCCAAUACCGUAAAUAUUGGACUAUAAGUCAAGA
rnacentral:ncRNA from 1 species